rnacentral:tRNA from 1 species
GGAGAGAUGCCAGAGAGGCCUAUUGGCGCUGCUUGGAAAGCAGAUGGUCGGUUCUGCCGGCACCGGGGUUCGAAUCCCCGUCUCUCCGCCA